UUAGGAAUAUUCGUCAAUGGGGGAAACCCUGAACGAGCAAUGCCGCGUGAGUGAUGAAGGUCUUAUAGAUCGUAAAACUCUGUUGUAAAGGAAGAACACUUAUUAUAGGGAAUGAUAAUAAGUUGACGGUACUUUACCAGAAAGCCCCGGCUAACUACGUGCCAGCAGCCGCGGUAAUACGUAGGGGGCGAGCGUUAUCCGGAUUUAUUGGGCGUAAAGCGUGUGUAGGCGGUUUAUUAAGUCUAAAAUAAAAGCCCGAAGCUUAACUUCGGUUCGUUUUAGAAACUGGUAGACUUGAGUGCAGUAGAGGCAAGUGGAAUUUCUAGUGUAGCGGUUAAAUGCGUAGAUAUUAGAAGGAACACCAGUGGCGAAGGCGGCUUGCUGGGCUGUUACUGACGCUGAGACACGAAAGCGUGGGGAGCAAAUAGG
rnacentral:rRNA from 1 species